rnacentral:lncRNA from 1 species
CCCUCCCACCGACAUACAGGAGAGUUUUGCUGCAUUUAGCCCUAUUACGCUUGAAGUUUCAGCACGCUGAGCCAGGGUGGCUCGUGCUUCCCACACGUCUUCUGAGGCUGAUGCUUCAUGCAAUGCUGCACUUAGGUUCCAGUCACCUUUGGCUUCACUGCACCAUCCGCUCGAGAGAGACGCCGUGUGCGCUGAGCACUCGGGCUGUCAGGUACCCCACGUGAAGGGGGGGAGAGUGAGCUUCUCCAAGGAUUACGUAAUUGCCCAUCUGAAAAUCGGGAUCUGAAUUAGUGUUUGGUGAAAUCAAUUUGGCUGACUCAUCUUAAAUAUUUAAUUCUAACUUGAAAUUGUAGUUGUCUAUUUGAUUUAGAACAUCCCUCUCCCCCAUGCACACACACACACACACACACACACACACACACACACACACACACACCCCUACAUACAAACACACCCCCCCCACACACACACACACAAACCUUAAUGCAAGACAUCAUAGCAUGUGCAAACCAGGUGAUCUUUUGAAUGUUGUAGCUAUAAUUUGUACAGUGAGAUAGUAAGGUAGGGUGGGAUUGUGGGAGGUGGAAUUUGUUGUCCUAUUACCGUCUCUUGGUAAUUUAUAAACUACCUGAUUCUCUGCAUUGUGAUUUGUGCAUUUAUGUCCUGGGGUGCUCUGGCAUCCUGGCACCAAAAUCAGACUGUUUUACAGUUCCAUUCCUGGUGGAAGAAAAUGCCUCAAUAUAUUUUGUAACCAUAAGGAGAGUAUUUUUUUGUUAAUAUUAAAAAGAUCAGAAUUGGAUAUGCUUAGAUCAUCCAUUCUCAGGGCUCAAAUUUUAUGCCACUAUUCAGAAUGUUGUAUCAGUAGCAAACUUGGGCUGUUUUUCCUUUUAUCCCCCCGUACCCGCCUCUUUUUGGUUGUUGUUUGAUAAAAGUACCUGAAAAUUAAUUUGACCCACAGUUUGAAUCAUACUGUGAUUUACCCAGAGACCAAGUUGGGGAAUCAGAAGUACGAUGACGAGUUAGACACACGCGAAGAUCAGGAAUGCAUUUGUGUUGGGGAGUUGUCCCCAGGCUCUCACUGGUUGAAAGACUGCAUUUUAGAGAAAAGUUGUUCUGUUCCCUCCCGUGAUGACUUCGUGUGCCUCCCCUGCCAGUGUAGCAGGAGGAGGAGAAGCCAGCCAGCGGCUGUGAGGACGAGGUGGGCCGCUGCACAGAUGCUGUGGCUGUGCGUGAGCUCCUGGGGUGCUGCAGUACUGGGACACCCCCUGUGGCCCCUUGGCAAUCCCAGCCGUACAGAGGGAGGGAGGGAGGCCCUGUCUUCUGUUGGGUUGUGUCCAUGAAGCAUGGGCUGGCCAGUGUUCCAGAGGGGAGGCCUGUGGUUCUGACUUGACAACAUACGGGGAUGCCUACAGCUUGUCACACACUUGCACACUUUAGCUAUUAUUAUUACUUUGUCUGUGGCAUUUUCUUCUGUCUGUAAAGUGAAAGCACGGCAGAAAUGUGUUGACUGAACACUUAAUUAUGCUUUUUAAAUGUUUUGGUUACGUUUCUUUUUUCAUUUAUAUUAUAUGAAAUGAUUAAAUUUAGAAUAACCUCUAACACUCCUAUAAUUAUCAUUUAAAAUACUGAUGUUUUUAUUGUCUCGACAGUAGUCCGUCCUCAGAACAGUGCAGACACACUGUGUGAUUAGCAGGGACUUGAGGCUGUUUUGGUUCUGCCGUUCAGUUCCUGUGUACAGUCGCUCACCAGCAGCCACCAGACAGUGGCUGCGAGCGUGGAGAACAGUCAAAAAUCCACAACCUCCCGGUUUGCUUGUAGGGCCUAUUGAUUUAAAACUACUCCUUGCUCGGUGAAGGCACCUAGUCCUCCUGCACAAACGUAACGCUGGCAAACGGAGGCCUUGCACCUUUAUUUCACAGCCCCUGAGCUGAGCCGCCAGCCGCAUCCUUAGCCAACUGUGUCUGCAGCGGGCUCUGUGUCUCCUCUGUGCUUAACAACGUCCGAGAACCCAUAGCUUCCCACCUGCUGAUCGCUUCUCUGGAAUUUAAUUAUUUUUCAAUAAAUUCUGUAGUUUAUACUGUAUAUGAGACAUUUUAAAGAUAGUUGAAAUGACUGUAAAGGUGGUGUGUCUGCCAUGGAGACCGUGUGUUGUCCACUGGCAGGGAAAAUGAUCACCUCUAACUUGCAGAUAGUACUUUAUUCAUUAUUUUCUUGUCUGUUUUUCUUUGCUAAACAACCACAGACAGUUUCAGUGUCAUAGAUGGCCCCAGAGUUUGCCUCGGCUGCUGGUUCCAUAGCGGAAGAACGCAUCUGCCUUCUCUGCUGUAAAUAAAGGGGAGUCACUAGCGAAGUCAGGCUGAGCGUUCCGCUGACAAUGAACUACGUCCGUCACAUGCUGCAGCCUUUUAAAGAAACGUAUUUGUGCAUACAGCGGUCACUGUAGAGCUGCAACAGCACCUCCGGACCACAGUCACCUUUAGCUUUCCGUUCCGUUUGUUUUUCUUUUUAAUAAUUGUAGCCAAUAAAGUUAUUGUCUGUUCA